GCUGUUUAUCCCCGAGUAGAACUACGUUGCCUUUCUUCAAAGAGUCAUUUCUUUUGGCUUGGUUGGAUGUAAAGUUCCUGAGUUCAUUAAGGUACUCUUUUUACCAACGAGACCAAAAUGCUUGCAAAUCAUCUUCUCGCUUGCUCCAAAGUUUCUUCAGUGCAUCGUUGGUAGACUCGGUGUUGAUUUUCAGUUCGUAAUGUGGUAGCGUUGUCAGUCUCCUUCCAACGAGAAAAUCUGCUGCAGAUAGGGGGUACGGUUCAUCCACGUCGUUGAACACGUAAGUCAAAGGUCGAGAAUUCACCACGGCCUCCACUUCUGUUAGUAGAGUAACUAACUCUGUCCGACUGACAAGCCGUC